rnacentral:rRNA from 1 species
GACGAACGCUGGCGGCGUGCCUAAUACAUGCAAGUCGAGCGAAGUUUUUCUGGUGCUUGCACCGGAAAAACUUAGCGGCGAACGGGUGAGUAACACGUAAAGAACCUGCCUCAUAGACUGGGACAACUAUUGGAAACGAUAGCUAAUACCGGAUAAUAGCAUUAACUGCAUGGUUGAUGUUUAAAAGUUGGUUUUGCUAACACUAUGAGAUGGCUUUGCGGUGCAUUAGCUAGUUGGUGGGGUAAAGGCCUACCAAGGCGACGAUGCAUAGCCGACCUGAGAUGGUGAUCGGCCACACUGGGACUGAGACACGGCCCAGACUCCUACGGGAGGCAGCAGUAGGGAAUCUUCCGCAAUGGGCGAAAGCCUGACGGAGCAACGCCGCGUGAGUGAAGAAGGAUUUCGGUUCGUAAAGCUCUGUUGUUAGGGAAGAAUGAUUGUGUAGUAACUAUACACAGUAGAGACGGUACCUAACCAGAAAGCCACGGCUAACUACGUG